rnacentral:rRNA from 1 species
UAACGGCGAGUGAAGCGGCAACAGCUCAAAUUUGAAAUCUGGCCCCCUUCGGGAGCCCGAGUUGUAAUUUGGAGAGGAUGCUUUGGGCGCGGCGCCUUCCGAGUUCCUUGGAACAGGACGCCAGAGAGGGUGAGAGCCCCGUACGGUUGGACGCCUAGCCCGUGUAAAGCUCCUUCGACGAGUCGAGUAGUUUGGGAAUGCUGCUCAAAAUGGGAGGUAAAUUUCUUCUAAAGCUAAAUACUGGCCAGAGACCGAUAGCGCACAAGUAGAGUGAUCGAAAGAUGAAAAGCACUUUGAAAAGAGGGUUAAACAGCACGUGAAAUUGUUGAAAGGGAAGCGCCUGUGGCCAGACGCGCCGCCCACGGACCACCUGGCGCCUCCGCGCCAGGGCACGCCGCGGGCGGCGGGCCAGCAUCGGCUUCUCCAGGGGGACAAAGGUCGCGGGAAGGUAGCUCCUCCGGGAGUGUUAUAGCCCGCGGCGCCAUGCCUCUGGGGGGGCCGAGGACCGCGCCCUUCGGGGCAAGGAUGCUGGCGUAAUGGCCACCAGCGACCCGUCUUGAAACACGGACCAAGGAGUCAAGCAUUGGGGCGAGUGUUUGGGUGAAAAACCCGCACGCGAAAUGAAAGUAAACGCAGGUGGGAGCCCCUCGCGGGCGCACCACCGACCGAUCCUGAUGUCCUCGGAUGGAUUUGAGUAGGAGCCUUACCGCUUGGACCCGAAAGAUGGUGAACUAUGCCUGUAUAGGGUGAAGCCAGAGGAAACUCUGGUGGAGGCUCGCAGCGGUUCUGACGUGCAAAUCGAUCGUCAAAUAUGGGC